GCAUGGAGAUGAUAUGAAAUAUGCUACGGCAUAGGUAGAGGAUGGACUUAUGGCGCAUUAGCUAGUUGGAGGGGUAACGGCCCACCAAGGCGACGAUGCGUAGCCGACCUGAGAGGGUGACCGGCCACACUGGGACUGAGACACGGCCCAGACUCCUACGGGAGGCAGCAGUAGGGAAUUUUCGGCAAUGGGGGAAACCCUGACCGAGCAACGCCGCGUGAAGGAAGAAGUAAUUCGUUAUGUAAACUUCUGUCAUAGAGGAAGAACGGUGCGUGUAGGGAAUGACAUACAAGUGACGGUACUCUAUAAGAAAGCCACGGCUAACUACGUGCCAGCAGCCGCGGUAAUACGUAGGUGGCGAGCGUUAUCCGGAAUUAUUGGGCGUAAAGAGGGAGCAGGCGGCACUAAGGGUCUGUGGUGAAAGAUCGAAGCUUAACUUCGGUAAGCCAUGGAAACCGUAGAGCUAGAGUGUGUGAGAGGAUCGUGGAAUUCCAUGUGUAGCGGUGAAAUGCGUAGAUAUAUGGAGGAACACCAGUGGCGAAGGCGACGAUCUGGCGCAUAACUGACGCUCAGUCCCGAAAGCGUGGGGAGCAAAUAGGAUUAGAUACCCUAGUAGUCCACGCCGUAAACGAUGAGUACUAAGUGUUGGGAGUCAAAUCUCAGUGCUG
rnacentral:rRNA from 1 species